rnacentral:rRNA from 1 species
AUGAUCCAUCCAAAGAAACUUGCUCAGCUGGCCAAGAAGUGUCAGCGGAUGUUGGUUGCCAGAGCCGGGGCCCGCCGCCGGCAUCAUGCCUCGGACACAGCCGACGAUGAAUGCUGCAUCACAACGUCGUCUGUGGUUGCCGAUGAGGGCCACUGCGUGGUGUAUGCCGCCGACGGAGCACGGUUUGAGGUCCCUCUGGUGUACCUUGGGACGACGGUCUUCGCCGAGCUCCUGAGGAUGUCCGAAGAGGAGUUUGGCUUUGCAAGCGGUAGCGAUGGAGGCAGGAUCACGCUGCCCUGCGAUGCCACGGUGAUGGAGUACGUCUUGUGCCUGGUCAGGAGAGAGGCCUCUGAGGAGGUCGAGAGGGCGUUCUUGAGCUCCAUUGCUGAGCAUGGCCACAACUACAGUGCUAGCUGUGUGGCGCCAUCGAUGGGACUAGUACUCAGCCAUCAAUUUGCUCUCUGUGCUUAG